UUGCUGAAGUUGAGCACUGCAGCACCUACUUCAUGCUUAACGCAUUUGGGAAUUACAAAUUGCCUGGCACUCCCCAAGAGCAUUGAAUGCAGUACAAAUCCAGAGGGGGAAGGAUGCUUUUCAUAAAAUGGCAGUGUUACCUGAAGUUGCACCUUUCUGGUUGUGUCCUUGAUAUAAACAGGAGACAUAAACCCCCCAAAUAACUGCAACUGUGAAACUUCCCCAUAUAAUCCUUCAGAGACAAGUGGUGGAAUUCCAAUCCCAGAUUUUCUCAGGUGGGAUUGUAUCAUGAAAAGCUCUGUACAAAAGAACAAAUAAAGGGCCCACUCAUUCCCUCUGUGACUGCACAUCCUGGAAAAGAGAUCUCAGCUUGGGCAAUCAUGUGAAAAGCUUUCCAUCUUCCCUUCUUCAGUCUAAGGUAAAAGUCU